GGAGAGCUGGCCGAGUGGCUGAAGGCGCGCCCCUGCUAAGGGCGUAUAGGGGUAACUCUAUCGAGGGUUCGAAUCCCUCGCUCUCCG
rnacentral:tRNA from 1 species